rnacentral:rRNA from 1 species
UACAGAGGUCUCAAGCGUUUGUUCGGAUUCAUUGGGCGUAAAGGGCGCGUAGGCGGCGGGGUAAGUCGGGUGUGAAAUCUCAGAGCUCAACUCUGAAACUGCACUCGAUACUGCUCUGCUUGAGGACUGGAGAGGAGACUGGAAUUCACGGUGUAGCAGUGAAAUGCGUAGAUAUCGUGAGGAAGACCAGUGGCGAAGGCGGGUCUCUGGACAGUUC